rnacentral:pre_miRNA from 1 species
UUAGCCUGGGUACUAUUCCUAUUUCUAUCGGGGCUCCUUGCACUAGCUGACCUAGUACCCCGGUAGGCAUAGGUUGGUACACAGGCAGU